AAAGUAAUUGCUGUUUUUGCCAUUACUUUUAAAUGGCAAAAACCGUAAUUACUUUUGC
ensembl:miRNA